ACGGAGGGUGCGAGUGUUAUUCGGAAUCACUGGGCGUAAAGAGCACGUAGGCGGAUCGGUAAGUCAGAUGUGAAAUCCCGGAGCUCAACUCCGGAACUGCAUUUGAUACUGCCAGUCUUGAGUGAGGUAGAGGGGGGUGGAAUUCCCGGUGUAGAGGUGAAAUUCGUAGAUAUCGGGAGGAACACCAGAGGCGAAGGCGACCCCCUGGGCCUUUACUGACGCUGAGGUGCGAAAGCGUGGGGAGCAAACAG
rnacentral:rRNA from 1 species